UACGGAGGAUGCGAGCGUUAUCCGGAUUUAUUGGGUUUAAAGGGUGCGUAGGCGGAACAUUAAGUCAGCGGUAAAAUCGAGGGGCUCAACCCCUUUAAGCCGUUGAAACUGGGUGCCUUGAGUGGGCGAGAAGUACGCGGAAUGCGUGGUGUAGCGGUGAAAUGCAUAGAUAUCACGCAGAACUCCGAUUGCGAAGGCAGCGUACCGGCGCCCAACUGACGCUGAAGCACGAAGGCGUGGGUAUCGAACAGG
rnacentral:rRNA from 1 species